CACAGGUGUGUCAUUCUGUGCCAGAUGCUCGAAGCUACCGGUAAUUGGCAGACAAUUCAGUGUGGGAAAUGUUCCAUGAAGGUAGACAAUUCAAAACUACUCUGUGCUAUUCCACACCUAGGUAUGUAUUGGCUAAUGUUGUGCUGCAAAGCCAUUAUUGUAUACAUCUGUAAGCUCCAUCAUAUUGCUGUUUCGUUACUCCCUUGCACCUUACCAAAAGCUUAUGCAUCUCCUUCAAAUCAAAAUAAAUAUUGAGAUUCGAUAUUAUUGGAUGUAAAAUAAGGAGACCAAACAUAUUGAAUACAGUCCUUGGCAUGUGUUUGAGCAACUAAAGGAUUUCCGGAGAGUUUUCGACAUCAAAUAUUUUAUAUUGUGAAAGCUAUGUUAGUCUUCUAUAAUAAAGAUAAAGACAUGCUGGAUGGCACCUUGAGUCUAACUUUUUAGAAGCUUCAUAUUGUAAAAUGGCAUAAGCCUAUGUAAGUGACAGCCUACUUUAUCAGAUGUUCCAGUUCAGCAUCUGAUGAAGUAGCCUGUCGCCUAUGAAUACUUAUGCUAUUUUACAGUAAAAAAGCUUCUUUAACUCUGAAGGUACAAUGUGUUCAAUAACAAGCAUUCAAUCAAAUAUUUCAGUACCAGAUAUUUAAUAUACAAAAUUCUCCCAAGGGAGGAAUUUUUAGGAGGAUUUCUGCGAACAAAGGGUGGUAUCCAACUCUCCUGUUCCUAUGCUAGCAGAACUGAAGGUUACCCUCCUCUCCUCUUCCUUGCAACACCCUCUACAUUCUCAAAAUCUGGAGGGUUGGCGAGCCAGCAGAAAGAGGAAAGGAAAUGGAAGUGCUGCUGCAACAGCAGAACUCUCCUGGCACUGCUUUGGAGACAACCCAAUGCCAUUUCAUGGCUGUUUCUUUCACCUGUGAUAUGUUGGUUAGGCACAAUAACCCUGUGUUGCAUAUCUGUCCAGACAUAUGGCUCACCAAGGCAGCAGUCCUGGACUCACUUUCUACACAGCAAGGCACAUUGGACAUAAUAGAAACUAACUCCAAGUAAACUUACAUGAGAUUAUGUUUCACGAGUCACUUCGCAAGUGACCAUUUCCUUUUGUUGAAACAAAUCUCCCACAUAUGAAAAAAAAGGAACUAUGAAGUGGUCCUAUGUUCCCAGUUGAGUAUAUCAAUUACAGUAUUAUUUAUAGCAGUCCAAGGGACUUGUGUUCCACAUCAUUUUCACAUGUAUUCACUCUUGAGUCCACUCCAACCCAUUGUCCCAUUAAAUUGGGGGGGGGGCAGUAUAGAAUCUACACAGGAGAAUCACAUUUAAAGACUAUUUAAAACAUAUAUUCUCUCAAACUACACAUGAGGAAGUGAAAGACAUGUGAUGGGCAGAGAUAUCCUGAUCCGCACAUUAGCCUGGGAGGUGCAGAUCAUAUGGGAAUUCACAAAGAAUUGAAUUCCUCAAGCAUCCCUAAGCGGUAUCCAUUUCAACAAUGGAUUCCCCAAUGCCGCCGUAAUUUUCUUCAGCGACAAACUAUUAAGGGAACUCACAUGUGCAGCUGAGUAUGGGGCCUGCAGCAUCUUUCUUCUGAAGCUGUUGUGCUGAGUCCACAGCUGUUUGAUUUGGAGGCACACUUCUGCGCCUCGCCUGUCUCUUUUGUAGACUGAUUGCUUGUGACAUUGUGGUGCAAGCAACACAUAUAUAAUCCCACUUUGCCAGGGAGUCAAUCCCAGAAAACUAAUCACAGUAAUAAUAAACUACCUCCAUACAUUCAAAACAAGAAAUGCCAAUACCCAUGAGGUGGCUGGAAUAGUAAAAGCCAAGCAUGAGUAAAUAGGCAACCAUGCCAUGGGGAAAAGCAGAAGGUUCUUUCCAACCUUAGGCCAAUGGAAUCUAAUCAAGGCCCUGUAUGGCUGCUUUUCGAACAAGAUUAAGCAAACACACAAACACCCCUGAAAAAUCUAGGCUGCCGGAAAUCUGUGCAGCAUAUGAAACAAAUGAUACAAGAGAGAUGCAUCUUUCCCAUGUUUUACUUACUAAAUGAAUCUCCUCUCCAGUCCAAUAUGUAACUGGGUUUUGUAUUUUAUAAACCCUUUAGAAGCCUGUUUUGGCAUUAUACAUAUAAAUAUAAAUUAAAUAACAACACCCAGGGCUUUUUUCCCACUGGAAUUCAGUUCCAGCACCUCCCAGGUUGGUGCCAUUGUCAUUCUAAGACAAUGAGGGAGGUGUUCAUGGUGAGCUCCAGCACCUCUUUUUCUAUAAAAAUAGCACUGAGAAUACCAACUUCUCCAACUUAAGAAGAAAUGUCUUAAAGACUGUUUUGAAGCUGCUGAAGGCUGCAUCUGAUAAGGAAGGCUUCUCUCUUACACAUUCACAUCAUACAUUUAAAGCAAUCUGAGACCACUUUUAAGCAAUCAUGACUUCUUCAAAAGAAUUAUGUAGUAGUUUGUUCAGGGGGCUGAGAGUUGUUUGGAGAUCCCCCUUCCCCUUCCAGAGUUACAGUUCCCAGAGUUCCCUGUGAAGAGGGGUUGAUAGUUAACCAGUCUGGAAAUGUGAGAGCCAGUGUGGUGUAGUAGUUAGAAUGUUGGACUAGGACCUGGAAGCCCAAAGUUCAAAUCCCCACUUGGCCAUGAAACUCACUGAGUGACUUCUCUGUCAGUCACUGCCUCUCAGCCUAACAUACCUCACAGGGUUGUUGUAUGAAGUAGACAAGGAAGGGGGGGGACCAUGUGUGCCACCUUGAGCUCCUUGGAGGAAAAAGUGGGAUCUGAAUGCAAUAAAUAGAUUUAAAUGUAUGGUGGGAAUGUGGCCUAAGAAACCCUGGAGAGCCACAGCUAGCCAGAGUACAUAAUACACAGCUAAGAAGCAAAAAUAGUGCACCCUGACACAAGGAAGCUUCCUGCAUUACUAAAUUAGCAGUUUAUAUAUCCUGACAGGUUGAGGAUCCUUGCCAUGUAGCUUAGUGGCUUGUAUUCAGGCCUACCAUUAGGCAGAGUGAGGCAGGUGUCUGAGGCAACAGAGUUUGAGUGUCAUGAAAGGGAGGCAAAAUGUUAGCUAUUUAAUUUGUUGUUGCUUUUCAUUGCCAAGAAGUGUGAGGGGAAGGUACUGAUGAAUUUUUGGCUUCAACUUGACUAGCCCUGAGCACUCCUAUGCUCCAUGAGCACAGGGGAGGAGGGCAGCAUUGAUGCUGCGACGCCUCAGGCUGCAAAAUGUCUUGGGCUGGCCCUGUAUUCUCCUAUCCUGUUAUUGUUCUUUUGUUUCCACACACACACACACAUCCCAUACCCUCCAACAUUUAUCCAAUGAAAAUAGGGACUUCCAUCAUCAUCAUCAUCAUCAUCAUCAUUAUUAUAUCCCGUCCAUCUGAGUGGGUUGCGCUAGCCACUCUGAUCGGCUUCGAACAUAUAUAAAAACAUAAUAAAACACGAAACAUUUUAAAAAACAAAACUUCCCUAUAUAGGACUGCGUUCCAAUGUCUUCUAAAGGUUGUAUAGUUACCUAUGUCCUUGGCUUGGGAGUCACAUAACUCCAUAACAUCCAACAUUUCUCCAGUGAAAAUAGGGACGUCCUAAGGAAAAGCAGGACAUUCUGGGAUCAAAUCAGAAACUUGGAUGGCUUCUAUAAAUCUGGAACUGUCCCUGGAAAACAGGGAGACUUGGAGUUUCUGACAUCCCCAGGUUCCCCUCUCCCCUGCCAGAUCUCUUUUACAUCCUGCCCUAUUCGCCAUUUUGAAAACUGGCUUUCCUCACCCCCCAACCCCCGUGCUGAUGCUGUGGCAGCUGCUACUUCAUCUACUGUGGCUGACACCCGUAACUGUGAUGAAUGGUGUGCUGACAGUCCAGCAUGCUUCACUGAGAAGCAAAGGCCUGAACAAAGUGAAUCAAGCUUGUCUGGUGCUAGUCCUGUCAAUACCUAUCGGCCAAUAUGAAGGCCCAGGCUGAUGUCUGGCUUUUGCAAAGCUGUUACCAUUUUCUGUGCAGGGAUCAGACUGAUCAUAAUUCUCAAAUAAAUUCCUAGACAACUGCAAUAAAUACACCUAUCAAUAAUGUUCUUUCUUUUCGGGGGGUUUAAAUAAAACUCUAACAAAAAGACAAGACUGCUUUUUUAAACAGGCAGUGUAGAAAAAAGAUGGGUCUGUUUUUUUCAACAGGGAAAAAUUGGUAGCACCACUAAAAUAAACACCCUCAGUAUGACUUGCGACCGUCUAUACGAUUGUCUGACAGGAAAAUUCUCCCAGCUGCACCAGCCUUAGGCUGUGUCUAUGGAAUGAACUCCUCUCUGAAAUGUGUCUUGUUCCAACUUUAUACACUGUAAUGGUUCUAGGGGUUGCUCGUGCAUAAAUCGGCGCCCCACCUGGCUGGGUUGCCUGAGUGAACCUUUUCUGUCCGGACAGCCACUCGCCAGUGGCUGCCUCAAUCGCUGGCAGGAUCCGUCAGUGGGCGUUUCUUGAACUUCUUCCAGCACAAAAGUUCUUUGACACCUAGUCUCCGCCUAGUCUCCCUGCGCGGAAGCCUUCUGCGCAGGGAGGGUGUGGGCAGCGGAGGACCCGUGCUCUCCCCGCUGGUCCCCGGCGAAGAGUCAUGGAGCCACCUCGCCGAUUCCCCCAUCUGCCCCCUUCUCCACUGGUGCUACACUGAUUUCCUUCCCCAGAAGAUGUGCUGCUUCUCUCCCUCCCGGGACGCUCUCCGGAAUCCCUCUGGAGCCCUCCCUCUCCCCCUGGCUCCGAUGGCAGUUCCCUGACAUAUACAUUUAGACAUCCAGUUUAAAAAAUCAACUUUUUGUUAGGCUUUGAGAGGCUGAUCAGGUCAUUUUUAAAAACAUUAUAAUGCUGCCAAUUAUGCUCUUUAUGUCUUUUAUGAGACUUUUUCUUCAUGUUCUUACUUAUUAUGUUUUAUGUGGCCUUGUUUCAAACCACCUUGUGGUCAUUUUUGGUGAAAGGGAGUGUAGCAACCUCUCAAUAAUUUUAAAAAUGUACAUUGCCACAUGUGGUGUAUGUACAUGGCCCAGUAGCCACAUGUACGCAUGGAAAGAAGCCCCAGUUAGCCAAGGUUUCCACCAGUGUGCGCAUAUGAUACACGCAUGCAUUCCAUCAUGCAAAUAGAUAUACAUCAGGAAUGGGGGACCUAUGGACCUCCAUAGUUGUUAUACUGCAACUCCUAACAGCCCCAGCAUAGCUAGCAAUCAGCGAUGAUUGCAGGGAAUUGCAUACCCUCCAACAUCCCACUGAUGAAAAUCGUACACAACCUGGCUCCUCAACACACUUAAAAACACUCCCCUCACCAACGCCUCCCCACCUUCUCUGCAGAUACAUCGACCCACCUCAGUGACCUCUGUUUCCACCAGACACCUUGAUAGAGGCCAUUCCCCUUCUCAUUUGGGCCCCCUCUCCCACCCUGUGAAAAUACACAUAUUUUUGGUUCCGUGCUCUGGUGCAAGCCAGCUGACUCGCACCAGAGCUCAGGAGCCAAAAUGAGACACCCUGGGAUCCAGUCAGAAGCCAGGAUGGCUUUUGUAAUUCCAGGAUAUUCUGGUCAAAUCAGGACAGUUGAGGGGUAUGGAAUUGUAGUUCAGCAACGUCUGGAUGACCCCAAUUUCCCCAUCUCUGGUGUAGACAGUGGGAAAUUUCUUUCAAAGAAGUGGUGCAAAUUGAAAUUUGGGCAAGGCAAACACAUAUUUGGAUUAACUAAUGGAUCACUUGUUCAAAUAUUUUCUGGUAAUAUUAUUAUGUAUUCCUUUAUGGGUGGUGUUCUCUGAAGAUAAAAUAAGUACAGUGGUACCUCAGGUUACAUACGCUUCAGGUUACAGACUCUGCUAACCCAGAAAUAGUGCUUCAGGUUAAGAACUUUGCUUCAGGAUGAGAACAGAAAUCGUGUUCUGGUGGCACGGCGACAGUGGGAGGCCCCAUUAGCUAAAGUGGUGCUUCAGGUUAAGAACAGUUUCAGGUUAAGUACGGACCUCCAGAAUGAAUUAAGUUCUUAACCCGAGGUACCACUGUACAUUAAAAUUCUCCCCAAGAAAGACAAAUAAUACAUUCUCUUUAGGUAUUGAAGACAAGGAAGCCUACUGAAGUACCACUAAUAUAAAUAAUUCCAUUUUGUAAAAACUUUGACAAGAAAGUAAUGAUGGUGUAAUUGAAAUUAACACUAGACUGAAUCUCCACAGUUGGUCGUAAUAGGCAGAGGAACAUAAUGUAUGUCACAGCUGGGUUGCAGUUUGAACAAUCCCUGUGCAAUGUAGGUUGCAUGCUUCCAGCAUCACCUUUUCCCCAAGGGAAUGCUCAUUCCCCAUCAGUAAGUAACCACCAGUUAUUUAUUUAUUUGUUUAUUUGUUUGUUGAUUCCAUAAAAUUAAUUCAACACUUGACUGUAUAAAAACAUUGAAGCGGUUUACAAAAAAGAUUUUGAAUGUCAGCAGUGUUUACUUACGAACAGAUACCUGUUUUCUUCAAAAUGAUUCCCCCACUAUUAUAAAGAUUAAUGCUCCAUGGCUUGAAUAGCAAUGCAAAUCAUAAUUAGCUGUAAUUAAUUACAUCACUGACUCCCCCUGCCCUGAAAUUGCUUGCCUCUACAGUGGUUCUAAUGUUUCACUGCAUCUGGAUGAAUCACUCAGACAAUCGUUUUGCUACCAACACAAGGAUUUGAUUCUUAAAGGCCAUUAGAUGAGUUAAAAGAAACUCAAUCACAAAUCGGUCGUAAGAUAAUGAUUUUCUUUAAAAUAAACACAUUCAUGAUUAAUUUCUGCUUUUCUGCUUUCUUAGCCUUCAGGGUUCCACCCUCUACUCCCCAUCCCACAAUAGUCAGCUUUUCUCUCAGCCGUAAGUGUUAGCAAAGCUUUAAAAGAAGUCCAGGAGUUUACUGAUUUCACAUCCCUGGUCUUCCGGGGCCAAGCUAGUUGUGAUGUGGCAGAGCUGUGAUUAAGAUGACCUGUUGGUUUAGAGGCCUGAAUCAGAUUAGGACCCCCGCACCAGGGGAGAGGGAGUGUAAUCCUUUCCCCAUGCUAUUUUUUCUGCUUAAAAAUAGCAUCUCUUCAAAUUAGAAUUCCCCCAAAACGGGGGAGUAUAUGAGAAAUAGUCAGUCACCACGUCCCGUCAGUGUAAGGAUUUCCACUUGCACAAUGGGACUUCUUCCCUCGCCCCCGCAACACCCCUACAGACUCCCCAGAUCUGUUCCAGAGUGUUAAAGAACAGAUUCUCUAGAACAGAUUCAGGAAGGGAAUGGAGGGAGGAGAGGGGAAGAGCAUCCCAUGUGCUCUUUUCAUGUUGCAAGCCGCCUUGAGCAUGUUUUGAACUGUGGAAAGGGGGCAUAUAUAUAAAAGCAUGUAUGUAUGUUACUUUAAUAGAUACUCCAUAUUUUAUUUUAUUUGGAUUGUAGAGCUUUCUCAACAUAGCGCCAUGUUUUUCUUCUCUUGUACUUGUUCUGUAAAUGUCUUCCACUUACACUAUGAUUCCAGCACAUUGUGAUCUGCUUGGAUCGAUCUGUGAGGAGGAGAAGGGAGCUCUGGGUGAAAAGACUUGAAGUAGGCGACUAGCCUAGAUAGCAUUCUGCUCUCUUCAACUCUGGUUGGCUCUUCACACAGGGGAAAAAAACACUAUAAAUAAAUCAACCAUUAAAUCAUUAUAACAAAAGAAAAAACGCUAUGUAAAAAUCACUUAGAUUUUUAUUUUUAUUUUCUCUCUGGUGCCAUCUGGUGUUGCAUGUUUAUAACACAUUAAAAGCAUUGCUUUUUGACUAAUGUAGCUGAGUCCUCUAUGCUUCCAAUUUGCCACAGGAGCCAACCACAAUAAAAUAUUUCAGGGGGCCGAGUCCCCAGAAAGUUAAUGGGUAUUCCCAUUCAAAUGGUGGGGGUGCACUGCAUCAUGUUUUCGUUUAUGUGGGGCGAGGCUUACCUGGGCCCCCACAAUAUUUUAUUCAAGUUGGCACCCCUGCUUUUAGCUUUGUGCAAAUUUUCACUUGGUCAUGUUUCAUAACUUCCUUGCUUUUUUACUGGUCGAAGCGAGAAGAGGGGUUGAGGGUGCUUCUUUCACUGAGGAAAGUUGGAGUGACUUGCUAAUGUUUCAUAGCAUUCAGGCAGAAGUCUGUACAAAGAGCAUUUGCCUUGAUGCAGAAAAUCCACGUGCAAAACAGUAGAGUGGGCAUGAGCAGCUGUGAGCACAAAUCUACAUCUGCCUACCUGUCCAAGGGAUGCUUGUUGCUGUCAGAUUUGCCAGCGCUGACCAGCUCUUUGAAAAGCAUUGGAGAUUUGAAUUUCCCCUCUCUUUGAUGUAGAACAGAGCUGGAAAGAGGAAUGUGCAUUCAGUCUCCUCUAUACCUCCUGCAGUGUGUGGCUUAUUCUGUUAUAGAUCAUCACACCAAUCAUCUGAUCACCAAUUCAUUUUUUGUUCUUCAUCAACAGGCACCCCUAAAUGGCAUCUAUACAUGCAGAAGUCAGACUCACUGGGCUCCUGAUCCUGCGAGGAGCUCUGCUUGCUUCUUGGAAAAGAACCCCCAUCCUGGAUUGAGAUUACUUUCUUUUGGAAGACUGCUGCAGUACAGUGUGAAGAAUUUCAUCCUUCAUUAUUCUUGGCUGCUCAGGAAUUGAAUCUUAUGAGGAGCACUUGCCAGAGAAGUCAUAAUUAACAUUUACUGCUUUUUUAAAAAAUGGGUCUGAGCCAAGAUAAUUGGCCAUCAAACUGUUGUGCAGAGAUGUUGAUCAUUCAGUAGCAUGAAUAAGUAUUUCAUCCUUUUUCUGGUACAAACGGAUAUUAUUGAGCACCGGCAGUGAGCUCUAGAGGAAAACAGAAGUGCAGACAAGGGAAUUGAGGAUAGGAAAUUAGAGAGAGGGAAAGGCUUGUAAUCAUUCUUUGAUUCAUUAUAAUUAUGGUGUUAAGUCAGCAUUGCCUCAAGGUGAUUAUUGGAGUAGCCGUUUAGCUGAAAGGCCAGUGGAUUAGUGUCUCAGUAUGUUAUUUGGAGCAUUGUGCAUAAUGGGCAUGAUAAAGCCUCGUUGUUUUUAGCAGGAAACAGUGUUAAUUUCUAUACAAAAGGAGAAAUAACAGGACAUGAAAAGAUUAAAACAAAAGGAUCAACACAGCACAGAGGACUUUUCAUGCUUAAGAAAUAAAUAAAUCAGUAUUUUAAUUCUACAUGCAGUGUAUGAUAAAAUGCAACAAUCAGUAUGAAAGUAAAAGAAAACUGAAAAUAAAGCAAAAGAAAAGAAGAAAUCUGAAUCGAUA
rnacentral:lncRNA from 1 species